GAUGAAGAACGUAGCAAAAUGCGAUAAGUAAUGUAAAUUGCAGAAUUCAGUGAAUCAUCGAAUCUUUGAACGCACAUUGCGCCCGCCAGUAUUCUGGCGGGCAUGCCUGUUCGAGCGUCAUUUCAACCCUCAAGCACAGCUUGGUGUUGGGACUCGCGUUAAUUCGCGUUCCUCAAAUUGAUUGGCGGUCACGUCGAGCUUCCAUAGCGUAGUAGUAAAACCCUCGUUACUGGUAAUCGUCGCGGCCACGCCGUUAAACCCCAACUUCUGAAUGUUGACCUCGGAUCAGGUAGGAAUACCCGCUGAACUUAAGCAUAUCAAUAAGCGGAGGA
rnacentral:misc_RNA from 1 species